UUAGUACUCCCUCCGUCCAAAAAUAUUUGUCAUUAAAAUGAACAAAAAAAAGAUGUAUCUAAAACUAAAAUACAUCUAGAUACAUCUUCUUUUAUCCAUUUUAAUAACAAGUAUUUCCGGACGGAGGGAGUAUUAA
rfam:Triticum urartu cultivar G1812 contig764431, whole genome shotgun sequence.